GGACAACACUGCUCGACGCUUUCAGUUGGAAUAUGAAAUCGUGUUAUAAUCAGGGCAAUCUCUCUAUUCAGGAUUAUUUUUCUGGGUUUCAAAACCUAUGGACAGAAUUUACUGAUCUGGUUUAUGCUUCGGUACCAGAAGAAUCUCUCUCUGCUAUUCAGAAGGUUCACGAGCAAAGCAAAAGAGAUCAGUUUCUAAUGAAAUUAUGGGCUGAAUUUGAGGUCACUCAUUCAAAUAUGAUGAAUCGUGUUCCUUCACCUACACUGGAUGUUUGUUUUAGGGUGUUACUCCAUGAAGAACAACGUAUUGCCAUGUAAGCCACUUUCCAACAGGACAAAUUGAUACCGACUGCAGUUGCUUAUGUCGCUCAUGGAAAAGGCAAUGAACGAGAUAUGAGAAAAGUUCAGUGCUUCAGAUGUAAAGAACAUGGACAUAUUGCUGCUCACUGUGUGAAGAAGUCUUGCAACUACUGUAAGAAAUCGGGACAUGUUAUCAAAGAAUGUCCUACUCGUCCUCAAAAUCGUCAGUUUAAUGCCUAUCAAGCUACAGUUGGUUUCACUUUCUCCACCACAAGUUCAUCUGCAGCAAUAGAUGAUUGUUUCAGCCUUCUCAACUUUAGGGCUUCAAGGUAACGGUUCAUCUUGGCUUGUUGAUCUGGCGCAUCUAAUCAUAUGACUAGUUCAUCUGACAUUCUUCAUAAUAUUUGAAAAUAUCAUGGAUCAUCUAAAAUUCAGACUGUUAAUAGUAAUCAAUUGCAUAUUCAAGCAGUUGGAGACAUUAAUUCUUCAUUCAAAGAUGUGCUUAUAUCUCCUGAACUUUCUAGUAAUCUUAUUUCGGUCGGAUAGUUAGUUGAUAAUAACUGUGAUGUUUAGUUUUCUCAUGAUGGUUGCCUUGUACAGGAUCAGGUGUUGAGGAAGAUACUAGCGAAGGGGCCUAAAGUUGGAUGUUUGUUUCCUAUGCAUUUUUCCAUUCCUAGUUUCAUGUCUUUAUUUUGCACUACUGUAAACAAUAAGAGUGAAGUAUGACAUAAACGUUUGGGACACCCAAACUGUGUCGUUUUAUCUCAUUUGUUAAACUUUGGUAUGUUGGGAAAUAAAGAUAAAAUUUGUGCCAUCUCUUUUGAUUGCUCUACUUGUACAUUGGGUAAAAGUAAGUCCUUCUCAUUUCAAUCUCAUAGCAGUCAUUCUGAGCACUGUUUUGAUUUAAUUCACAGUGCUGUUUGGGGAAUAUCACAUGUUAUCUCUCAUGCCCACUAUAAAUACUUUGUCACAUUUAUUGAUGACUACAGUAGGUAUACUUGAAUUUAUUUUCUUCGAUCUAAAUAUGAAG
rnacentral:lncRNA from 1 species